rnacentral:rRNA from 1 species
CCCAGACUCCUACGGGAGGCAGCAGUGGGGAAUAUUGGGCAAUGGGCGCAAGCCUGACCCAGCAACGCCGCGUGAAGGAAGAAGGCUUUCGGGUUGUAAACUUCUUUUAAGAGGGAAGAGCAGAAGACGGUACCUCUUGAAUAAGCCACGGCUAACUACGUGCCAGCAGCCGCGGUAAUACGUAGGUGGCAAGCGUUGUCCGGAUUUACUGGGUGUAAAGGGCGUGCAGCCGGGAAGACAAGUCAGAUGUGAAAUCCCGCGGCUCAACCGCGGAACUGCAUUUGAAACUGUUUUCCUUGAGUACCGGAGAGGUCAUCGGAAUUCCUUGUGUAGCGGUGAAAUGCGUAGAUAUACGGAGGAACACCAGUGGCGAAGGCGGAUUGCUGGACAGUAACUGACGCUGAGGCGCGAAAGCGUGGGGAGCAAACAGGAUUAGAUACCCGGGUAC